rnacentral:ncRNA from 1 species
CACCUGGUUGAUCCUGCCAGUAGUCAUAUGCUUGUCUCAAAGAUUAAGCCAUGCAUGUCUAAGUAUAAGCUUUAAACGGCGAAACUGCGAAUGGCUCAUUAAAACAGUUAUAGUUUAUUUGGUGAUCGAUUACUAUUUGGAUAACCGUAGUAAUUCUAGAGCUAAUACAUGCGUCAAGGCCCGACUUCGGAAGGGCUGCGUUUAUUAGAUACAGAACCAACCUAGGCUCCGCCUAGUCCUUGUUGGUGAUUCAUAAUAACCCGGCGAAUCGCACGGCUUGUCCGGCGAUGGACCAUUCAAGUUUCUGACCUAUCAGCUAUGGACGGUAGGGUAUUGGCCUACCGUGGCGUUGACGGGUAACGGGGAAUUAGGGUUCGAUUCCGGAGAGGGAGCCUGAGAAACGGCUACCACAUCUAAGGAAGGCAGCAGGCGCGCAAAUUACCCAAUCCUGAUACAGGGAGGUAGUGACAAGAAAUAACAAUACAGGGCAAUUCUGUCUUGUAAUUGGAAUGAGUAGAUUUUAAAUCUCUUUACGAGUAUCAAUUGGAGGGCAAGUCUGGUGCCAGCAGCCGCGGUAAUUCCAGCUCCAAUAGCGUAUAUUAAAGUUGUUGCGGUUAAAAAGCUCGUAGUUGGAUUUCUGCCUUGGGCGACCGAUCCACCUUUCCUACGGGAUUGGUUGGUAUCAGGUUUGACCUUGGCUUUUUCUUGGGAUUCGUGCUCACGUACUUAACUGUGCGUUGACCGUGUUCAAGACUUUUACUUUUGAGGAAAUUAGAGUGUUUUCAGCAAGCUUAUGCCAUGAAUACAUUAGCAUGGAUA